CACUUGCUAACGAGUCCCAAAUAGGACGAAACGCGCGUUAAACUG
rnacentral:hammerhead_ribozyme from 1 species